rnacentral:rRNA from 1 species
AGUGAACGCUGGCGGUAGGCCUAACACAUGCAAGUCGAACGGCAGCACAGUAAGAGCUUGCUCUUACGGGUGGCGAGUGGCGGACGGGUGAGGAAUACAUCGGAAUCUACUUUUUCGUGGGGGAUAACGUAGGGACACUUACGCUAAUACCGCAUACGACCUACGGGUGAAAGCAGGGGAUCUUCGGACCUUGCGCGAUUGUAUGAGCCGAUGUCGGAUUAGCUAGUUGGCAGGGUAAAGGCCCACCAAGGCGACGAGCCGUAGCUGGUCUGAGAGGAUGAUCGGCCACACUGGAACUGAGACACGGUCCAGACUCCUACGGGAGGCAGCAGUAGGGAAUAUUGAGCAAUGGGCGAAAGCCUGACGGAGCAACGCCGCGUGAGUGAAGAAGGCCUUCGGAUAGUAAACCUCUGUUAUUGGGAAAGAAAAUAAGGGUAAGAAACCCCGCAUGUCUUGAGGGUACCAAAUAAGAAAGCCCCGGCUAACUCCGUG